UCAGGAAAAGAGUGUACAUGACACGAG
rnacentral:piRNA from 1 species